rnacentral:tRNA from 1 species
GGAGUGUAGCUCAGUUGGUAGAAUGCUUGCCUCGCAUGCACAAGGCCCUGGGUUCAAUCCCCAGCAACAUUCA